rnacentral:rRNA from 1 species
GUCUAAGGCCAUGCCACCCUGAACAAGCUGGAUGUCUGAUCUCAGAAGCUAAGCAGGGUCGGCCCAGUUAGUACUUGGAUAGAUGACCACCUAGGAAGACCAGGUCCUGUAAGCA